AAUGUGUAUAAGAGACAGGUGAGUCAUCGAAUCUUUGAACGCACCUUGCACCCUCUGGUAUUCCGGAGGGUAUGCCUGUUUGAGUGUCAUGAAGACUCAUCCCUUCGGGUUUCCGAAGUGUGAUGGAUUUGGGUGUUGCCAUUAAUACUGGCUCGCCUUAAAGAUCUAAGUGGUUGAUUAGGACGUAAUAAGUUUCGUUCCGAGACCGCUCAUAACCCUUAGCUUCUGGCUAAAUUCCAUGAUCUGACCUCAAAUCAGGUAGGGCUACCCGCUGAACUUAAGCAUAUCAAUAAGCGGAGG
rnacentral:misc_RNA from 1 species